CGUAAGUUAUCCAGCCCUCGGCAUGGCCAUAAGCGGAGCUGAAUGUCAGAAGAGUCUCAUCUUGUGAAGCAUGGGCGCAGGCUCGAGCGACCGUAUUCCCUGGAAUUUCACGGUGAAGAGGAUGCGUAUCGCCUGCGCUCGUAACGGUCUCCAGCUGGGGAUGCAGAGAGAGAGGAAGCGCACCAAAGAGCAGCACAGGAGGGGAGCAGAGCACCGUAAGGAGGUGCAAAGCUGGAUAUUGACCCCUUAGGAUACAGACACGGGAGGUGACUUGGGCCAGGUGUGGUGCAAGGAUGGCACCCGAAAAUGAUGCAG